UACGGAGGGAGCUAGCGUUGUUCGGAAUUACUGGGCGUAAAGCGCGCGUAGGCGGCUUUGUAAGUUAGAGGUGAAAGCCCGGAGCUCAACUCCGGAACUGCCUUUAAAACUGCAUCGCUUGAAUCCAGGAGAGGUGAGUGGAAUUCCGAGUGUAGAGGUGAAAUUCGUAGAUAUUCGGAAGAAACACCAGUGGCGAAGGCGGCUCACUGGACUGGUAUUGACGCUGAGGUGGCGAAAGCGUGGGGAGCAAACA
rnacentral:rRNA from 1 species